rnacentral:rRNA from 1 species
UACGUAGGGGCCAAGCGUUGUCCGGAUUUAUUGGGCGUAAAGGGCUCGUAGGCGGUUUGUCGCGUCGGGAGUGAAAACACCGGGCUUAACUCGGUGCUUGCUUUCGAUACGGGCAGACUAGAGGUAUGCAGGGGAGAACGGAAUUCCUGGUGUAGCGGUGAAAUGCGCAGAUAUCAGGAGGAACACCGGUGGCGAAGGCGGUUCUCUGGGCAUGACCUGACGCUGAGGAGCGAAAGUGUGGGGAGCGAACAGG